GAUGAACGCUGGCGGCGUGCUUAACACAUGCAAGUCGAACGAUGAAGCCCAGCUUGCUGGGUGGAUUAGUGGCGAACGGGUGAGUAACACGUGAGUAACCUGCCCUUGACUCUGGGAUAAGCCCGGGAAACUGGGUCUAAUACCGGAUAGGAGCGCCUGUCGCAUGACGGGUGUUGGAAAGAUUUUUCGGUCAUGGAUGGACUCGCGGCCUAUCAGCUUGUUGGUGAGGUAAUGGCUCACCAAGGCGACGACGGGUAGCCGGCCUGAGAGGGUGACCGGCCACACUGGGACUGAGACACGGCCCAGACUCCUACGGGAGGCAGCAGUGGGGAAUAUUGCACAAUGGGCGGAAGCCUGAUGCAGCGACGCCGCGUGAGGGAUGACGGCCUUCGGGUUGUAAACCUCUUUCAGUAGGGAAGAAGCGAAAGUGACGUACCUGCAGAGA
rnacentral:rRNA from 1 species